rnacentral:rRNA from 1 species
CCUACGGGUGGCAGCAGUGAGGAAUAUUGGUCAAUGGGCGCGAGCCUGAACCAGCCAAGUAGCGUGAAGGAUGACUGCCCUACGGGUUGUAAACUUCUUUUAUAAAGGAAUAAAGUGAGGCACGUGUGCCUUUUUGUAUGUACUUUAUCAAUAAGGAUCGGCUAACCCCGUGCCAGCAGCCGCGGUAAUACGGAGGGUCCGAGCGUUAUCCGGAUUUAUUGUGUUUAAAGGGAGCGUAGAUGGGUUGUUAAGUUAGUUGUGAAAGUUUGCGGCUCAACCGGAAAAGUGCAAUUGAUACUGGCAGCCUUGAGUACAGUAGAGGUAGGCGGAAUUCGAGGUGUAGCGGUGAAAUGCGUAGAUAUCACGAGGAACUCCGAUUGCGAAGGCAGCCUACUAAACUGCCACUGACGUUGAGGCUCGAAAGUGUGGGUAUCAAACAGGAUUAGAUACCCGAGUAGUC